CGCCCAUCCCUUGUUAGCCCCGCCCCCUGCUAAGGGAAUCGUGGCUCGGUGGACGUCCUUCUGCGCCUGCGUACUGCGCUCGGAGGGCGGUGCCUAGAGCGCAAGCGAAAUAGCGAAUGCCUGCAGAGCGUUGAGCUUCCGGGUCAGGUAAAUCGGUCUGUGUGAAGGGAGGAGUCGACGCCGCGCCGCCGGGAGGCACCCAGGGCGCAAUGGAGAGGGAUUUGCUCCGUCAGACGCUCAGCUUCCAUGGGCCCACGCUGCUCUCCCUUCUCCGUACUGAGCAGCACGACAACCCCGACUUCCGAGGCCUCCUGCCGCCUGGGGGGCCCGGCCUGGAAGCUCUGCCGCCCGCCAGAAAAGAGAGAGGAAUAGCUAAUAUUGAGAUACAGCACUUCAUUGCAAAAAAGGCUGAUCUUCUUUUCUCUAAUGCUUGGAAAACAAAUGUGCCAACAACAACAGAAGGAAAUGAAGAGAAUGAAGAUUAUUAUGCUGUUAUGCCACCAUUGGAGCAAUUCAUGGAUAUUCCCAGUGCAGAGAGGCGAGAGUUGUUUUUCCGAGACAUUGAGCGUGGAGACAUAGUGAUUGGAAGGAUUAGUUCUAUUCGUGAAUUUGGUUUUUUCAUGGUGCUCUUCUGUCUGCGAAGUGGUGUCAUGCGAGAUAUAGUGGAAUUAGAAAUCACCGCUCUCUGUCCACUGAGAGAUGUGCCUUCCCAUAGCAGCCAUGGUGAUCCUCUAUCGUACUAUCAAACUGGUGACCUUAUCCAAGCUGCAAUCAAGGAUAUUGAUCGCUACCAUGAAAAGCUUACAGUAUCACUGCACAGCUCUGCUCUCUCUCCCAGUCUAGCAGGUACCAAAUUGGGAGUAAUUGGCUUGGAAGAAUCACCUCUGCACUAUAGGAGGAGUGUCGAAGUAGCCAGCAGUGUAGAAACAUAUGACAAAGUUUUGCAUAAUUCCUUGGGCUUUGCCAAUCCAGCAGUAGUUGAGUUUCUGGUAGGCAAACUGGAACUGAGUGAAGCCAGCCCACCAUCCUUGAUGAGAGGACUCCAAAGCAAAAAUUUCAAUGAAGAGGAUUUUGCCACUGCAUUGAGAAAAAGACAGUCUUCCUCUUGGGCCUUAAAAUGUGUAAAAAUUGGGGUUGAUUAUUUUAAAGAGGGCCGCCAUGUGGAUGCUAUGAACGAAUACAACAAGGCAUUGGAAAUAGAUGCACAAAAUGUUGAAGCCUUAGUAGCCCGUGGUGCACUGUAUGCAACCAAGGGAAGUUUAAAUAAAGCAAUAGACGAUUUCGAAGUUGCUUUAGAAAGCUGUCCAACUCACAGAAAUGCAAGAAAAUAUCUUUGUCAAACACUUGUUGAACGGGGAGGCCAGUUGGAAGAAGAAAAGCUGUUAAAUGCUGAGAGUUAUUAUAAGAAGGCUUUAAACAUAGAUGAGACAUUUCAAGAAGCCGAGGAUGCCUUGCUGAAACUUCGUAAGCAGAUGCAGGUGAUUCUUUAUUUUCUCUUAGUCAGCUAAGGUAAAUAUUUGAAAUAAUGCACCAAGUGGCAACUGCGUGUUGGUUAUUUGUUGUGCUCUGUGCCUGCCAUCAGUGGCAUGUUUCAAUUGUGAAGAAUGUUGCUGAAGUUGUCAAAACCAAAUGUCUGGAUUGCUUGAUUGCUGCUGGUCAGAGCAGGAAUGCUUAGAGAGAUGUGAAAAUAAGCCAGUCUUCAGACUGCCUUAUUGUAAUCGCAAUUGCUGAUGCUGAAGACGACCAGAUCAGAUUAAUCUUUCAGGACAUGCCAGUGUCACAGGAACAUAGAAAGCUGCCUUAUUCAGAGUCAGACUAUUGGUCCAUCUAGCUCAGUAUUGUCUACACUGACUGGCAGCAGCUACUCGAAAGUUGCAGGCAGGACAAACUGGACAUACUGGUAGCUAAGGGAAUUUCCUGAGCACAUGUACAUGGAAAUAAGUAUCACUACUUUUGAUUGAGUUUAUUUCAGUAUGAGUACCUUAAUUGGAAAUUGGUUGCAAAUCUGACACAGUGGCGUUUAAAAAUGUUGCUCCAAGAGAGCCAGACUAUGUUGCUCGGAAGUGUUCUUUGGACACUGUUGCUAAUGAGUUGAUAUGGAAUGGCAGAUACUUUGUUGGGCUACUCGGUCCUCAAGUUGUACCACCAGUGUAUUUUGCAAAGAGCCUUGACAGACAGCUUUAGUCAGCAAGCCUUCAGGGUUUGGUAAUUAACGUUUUCUAGAUCACAGUUUUAUUUAUAACAUGCAUGUCUGAAAGACACUGAAAGUCAUGUUGUACAUGCUUGUAUUGCUUUUUCCUCUAUGCUGGUACUUCUCCAUCAUGCAGAGAACACAUGCAAAGUGGGAUACCAUGUCUGUGUUUACCAACAAAUCUCCACAUAACAUGCCAGCAAAAAGCAGCCUGUAAAUGGAAGCAUCUUGGUAAAAAUAGACACAGUGUCCUCCUUUGCACAUGUACCUCUCUGUGUGUGGUGAGGAGCACCAGAUGGUGAGAGAAAAGGUCUAAACCAGGCAAGUACAAAGCUGCCUUGAGUUACAACUGAAAUUGACAAGCUGUCUUCCCGUAAUACUGAUGAUAUGUUUUUCUUCAAUGCAUUUUCCUCUGAACUGGAACUGUUGCUGCUGUGUCUGACCUCUGGUGCUGCUCAUCACCAACAACCCACUGGAAUAUGAUUACGUGUGUAAACCAUGCAUCAAACUGGGCUGUGGUACGGUUGACAAAUGAAAUCUCUGGAAAUGAGAGAGAAACAAGCUGCAAAAGAAGAGAGGCAGAAAGAGAAGAAAAUAGAAACAAGUGCAGAAAAACUGCGUAAGCUCUUAAAAGAAGAGAAAAGGUUGAAGAAGAAAAGAAAAAGGUCAACCU